rnacentral:lncRNA from 1 species
AAAUUUGUAAAUAAUAAAAUAAAUAAUUUAUUUAAUUUAUUUUAAGAAUUGAAUGCGAUGGAGAAUCACCACUUGUUGCACCCAUACAUUCAUCAUCAUCCAUAUUUCAUCUUCUUCUUUCAUUCUCUCUCUAUAAUUUCUUCUUCUUCUUCUUCUUCUAUCUAUCUAUGAUGAUAAUGAUGAUGAUGAAAGUGAGAAACUUUAACUUCAAUCCAAAGCUAAAACAGUGAAAAAUAAACACCAAAAAAACAAUAAAAAUCAUAUUUUUAUUUUCAUUAUGGAGUCAAAGGGUCUUCGUUUCAUGACCCACCAAUCAAUUUUCACCAUGGUUGGAUCUGGGAACCUUGAUGGGUUAAAGAAACUGUUAGAGAAGCUGAAAAACGAAGAUGAUGAUAAUAGUAAUAAUGGGUCAUCAUCAUCAUCAUCACCUAUCUCUGUUUCUGAUGUUAUG